AUGAGCGGCGGACAGGAGCUGAAUCUGCCGCCGGGCUUCCGGUUCCACCCGACGGACGAGGAGCUGGUGACGCACUACCUCUGCCGCCGCUGCGCCGGCGCGCCCAUCGCCGUCCCCAUCAUCACCGAGAUCGACCUCUACAAGUUCGACCCCUGGCAGCUCCCAAAGAUGGCGCUGUACGGCGAGAAGGAGUGGUACUUCUUCUCCCCGCGGGACCGCAAGUACCCCAACGGGUCCAGGCCCAACAGGGCCGCCGGGUCAGGGUACUGGAAGGCGACGGGGGCCGACAAGCCCGUGGGCACCCCCAAGCCGCUGGCCAUCAAGAAGGCGCUCGUCUUCUACGCCGGCAAGGCCCCCAAGGGCGAGAAGACCAACUGGAUCAUGCACGAGUACCGCCUCGCCGACGUCGACCGAUCCGCCCGCAAGAAGAACAGCCUCAGGUUGGAUGACUGGGUGCUGUGCCGCAUCUACAACAAGAAGGGCGGCUUGGAGAAGCCGGCGUCCGUGGACCGCAAGCCGGCGGCCAUGGGCGGCUACGGGGGUCCUCCUGGGGCCAUGGUGAGCUCCCCGCAGGAGCAGAAGCCCGUCAUGGGGAUGAACGCCAACGGCGGCGGUGGCGUGCAGCCGUUCCCGGACUUCGCGGCGUACUACGACCGGCCGUCCGACUCGAUGCCGCGGCUGCACGCCGACUCGAGCUGCUCGGAGCAGGUGCUGUCGCCGGACUUCCCGGCCGGGGAGGUGCAGAGCCAGCCCAAGAUCAGCGAGUGGGAGCGCUCAUUCGCCUCCGGCGGCGACCCUGUGAACCCGGCGGCCGGCUCCAUGCUCGAGCCCAACGGCGGCUUCGGCGGCGACCCGCUCCUCCAGGACAUCCUCAUGUACUGGGGCAAGCCGUUCUAA
rnacentral:rRNA from 1 species